rnacentral:tmRNA from 1 species
GGGGAUGCGUGGUCUCGACAGGGCCGGAUUCCCGAGGAACGCGAGCCGAGGUGCCGUCGGGCCUCGUAAAAAGGCGGCAAAAGAAGUAACUGGCAACCGCCAGCCUGCUCUCGCCCUCGCUGCUUAGGCAGUAAGGUGAGCGUGGAAGCAGCCUCAUCCCCGUGGGCUGUGGAAGCGUCAUUCAGCGGGGAUGCGCUUCGGAGUAGCGUCACGUAGUCCGAAGCAAAGCCCGAAAGGGGACGUGACUGGUCCUCAGCGAACGGUGCCGAUG